rnacentral:rRNA from 1 species
UGGGGAAUUUUGGACAAUGGGCGAAAGCCUGAUCCAGCAAUGCCGCGUGUGUGAAGAAGGCCUUCGGGUUGUAAAGCACUUUUGUCCGGAAAGAAAUCCUUGGCUCUAAUACAGUCGGGGGAUGACGGUACCGGAAGAAUAAGCACCGGCUAACUACGUGCCAGCAGCCGCGGUAAUACGUAGGGUGCAAGCGUUAAUCGGAAUUACUGGGCGUAAAGCGUGCGCAGGCGGUUUGCUAAGACCGAUGUGAAAUCCCCGGGCUCAACCUGGGAACUGCAUUAGUGACUGGCAGGCUAGAGUAUGGCAGAGGGGGGUAGAAUUCCACGUGUAGCAGUGAAAUGCGUAGAGAUGUGGAGGAAUACCGAUGGCGAAGGCAGCCCCCUGGGCCAAUACUGACGCUCAUGCACGAAAGCGUGGGGAGCAAACAGGAUUAGAUACCCUGGUAGUCCACGCCCUAAACGAUGUCAACUAGUUGUUGGGGAUUCAUUUCCUUAGUAACGUAGCUAACGCGUGAAGUUGACCGCCUGGGGAGUACGGUCGCAAGAUUAAAACUCAAAUGAAUUGACGGGGUCAUAGCUGUUUCCU